rnacentral:tRNA from 1 species
GGCGGCGUAGCCAAGUGGCCUAAGGCGACGGUUUGCAAAACCGUUAUCCGUGGGUUCGAAUCCCACCGCCGCCU